rnacentral:rRNA from 1 species
CAGCCGCCGCGGUAAUACGUAGGUGGCAAGCGUUGUCCGGAAUUAUUGGGCGUAAAGGGCUCGCAGGCGGUUUCUUAAGUCUGAUGUGAAAGCCCUCGGCUCAACCGGGGAGGGUCAUUGGAAACUGGGAAACUUGAGUGCAGAAGAGGAGAGUGGAAUCCCACGUGUAGCGGUGAAAUGCGUAGAGGUGUGGAGGAACACCAGUGGCGAAGGCGACUCUCUGGUCUGUAACUGACGCUGAGGAGCGAAAGCGUGGGGAGCGAACAGGAUUAGAUACCCCCGUAGUCCCUGUCUCUUAUAC